AACGAACGCUGGCGGCAGGCCUAACACAUGCAAGUCGAGCGCCCUUUCGGGGGAGCGGCGGACGGGUGAGUAACGCGUGGGAAUAUGCCCUUCUCUACGGAAUAGCCUCGGGAAACUGAGAGUAAUACCGUAUACGCCCUUUGGGGGAAAGAUUUAUCGGGGAAGGAUUAGCCCGCGUUGGAUUAGGUAGUUGGUGGGGUAAUGGCCUACCAAGCCGACGCUCCAUAGCUGGUUUGAGAGGAUGAUCAGCCACACUGGGACUGAGACACGGCCCAGACUCCUACGGGAGGCAGCAGUGGGGAAUCUUAGACAAUGGGGGCAACCCUGAUCUAGCCAUGCCGCGUGAGUGAUGAAGGCCUUAGGGUUGUAAAGCUCUUUCAGCUGGGAAGAUAAUGACGGUACCAGCAGAAGAAGCCCCGGCUAACUCCGUG
rnacentral:rRNA from 1 species